AAAUAUGAACUUAUUAUGGUGCCAAGAUUUCAUUCCAACUUGACUGAUUGAUACAUCCAAAAGUUGGUAUUUUCCACUAGAAAAUGAUCUUAAAAUUUCAGAAAAUAGGAAUCAAGGAAUAAAAAUUAAUAGACCUUACUCUGCCUAAUGUAAACACUUCAAGAUGCUGGGUACAGAUCUGGGUACAGAGAGGAAAUGAACUCUACUGACAUGUGAAACCAUCUUUUCUCUGUUUUCUUUUUGUUAGGCAACAAAACAUUAAUCAGGGCUUAUAGGGUGAAAACUUCAUCUUUGAAGAAGUAUGGUUUUUCCUGGGAUGUUUGAUCUUUUGGGCCAGUCUUCCAGAAGCUGUAUGUACUGGGACUCCACCCUUAACCGAGUCUCACUACUAUUUCCAGGCCUCUCUGCCCAGAGGGCCCUCGGCAGAGGGUGCCAAUCCAGGGCUCCAGCCUCUUUCACAGAGAUGGGCUCCCUUUCCCACCCCACCCCCUGUCACACACACACCCAGGCCACACAAGCAGUGUUUAGAACCAAAGACAGCUCUUUCUUAGUACAUUCAUGAAAGAAUUAGAUUGUUUUGUGCUUUUUCCAGUUGAAUACAAGGAGCAGUUGUUUUUCUAUAAUCUCUGAUUAGUGAGUUUCACUGUGGGAAUUCUCUGCUAUGUAGACAUAAUCUAAUUUUUGUUUAUGAUGCACUAAACCCAGAUUUUUCCCAUUAUAUUUGUUUGCUAAUGAUUUUUGGCAUUGAUAGCUCACAUAGUUCUCAAAGAAAUCUUAUUUAUAUGACCAAACCUAAGGUUUUCCCAACCAAUGGAAUCUCUGAGGUCCCUCAUUCUACUAUAAUUUUCACUUUCUUUCCAUUUGCCUUCUGUUUUUAUGUUAAGCUUUAAAGAUUUAAUAAAAUGUGUAUCUCUUAUCAUCUGGAAGGCUCUGUUACUUCCAAAUCGUGCCCUGUGGCUUCAGUACAAGCCAGUACUGUAACCCCAACCCCACAUACAAUCAUCUGAAAUGACAUAGUUUGGCUUGCAGUGUGUUGGUAGCCUGUCUAGCUGUGCUUAGAUUUGUGCAGUCUAAAAUCAAAAUGUCAGACAUAACCUUGCAUUACCAUCUCUUAUUUCUGUUUAGAAAAUUCAGUUGUCAAUUUGGACUUUUUCCCAACAGUUAUGAAUAUACAACUAGCUGCUAUUCUUGCAGUUACGUUUUUGCAAUUAUGACAUUUUUAUGAAUAAGUCUUUACAUUUCUUAAAUUUCUUAUUAAAUAGUAAGUCAAGAUGUGGCUUGAUAUUUUGAAGUCAAAUCAGUUUUUAAAAAUAAAGUAUUUUUUUAGAACAUAAUUAAGGAGAACUCAAACAUGGAAAGAUUUCAUUGGUGCCAAAUAUGACAAAUGAUAGUUUGGUUUGCUGAACAAACUAAGAUUUCAUAUUAAUGGAAAUAGAGAUUUGUGAUAGGUCAGGAAUUGUCAUGGGUUAGUUUUGGGUUUUUGUUUGUUUUGUUUUUUGGUUUUUUGUUUGUUGUUGUUGUUGUUGUUUUGAGACAGGAUCUCACUCUGUAGUCCAGGCUGGUCUUAACUCUUGGCUAUCCUGCCUCUGCUUGCACCAGCACACCUGGAUGGGAUAGAUAAUUUAAGGAUGUUUGUGAAUCUGCCUACCUGUACAGCCCAUGUUCACCUACUGUCAGGAGACGUGCUAUUUGAUUCUGCCUGCAGUGAACAAUUAAACUGAGUGACCUGCCAAUCAAUUGUCAUUUUUUAAAAUCUAAAAACAACAACGACAACAAUGACAAUGAUCCAGAUGAGAAGCUACUGUGCUCAGAAUUAAAAACAAGAAAAAGAGUGACUAAAUCUUUCUAUUAUUAAUCUCAUCAUAUGCUCUUCAAUUUCAGCAGAAUACCAACCACACAUUAAAUUAAUAUUAGCCAUUUUAA